CCAUUCCUUAGAUAUGAUUGCCCUCUAAAACAAAUAUUGAUUGAGCCCCGCUAAAAUUCGUUCUCCAGAAAACAUUGAGCCCUAAAAUCAUCUUCCUCCAUCGUUUACCAUCGUUUCUGAGGGAAUCCUCUUAAAGCAUAUAAAGUUCGUCCUUCUCACUGGAGCCUUCAACGAAACCCUAACUUUCUGCUUAUUCUAAAGUCUAAUUUACUCGACAAAUCAUGGAGCCCUAGUUCUCAAAAUUAUUCACUCUCUCAUUCUUUUUAGUUUUUAUUAUUCUUUACUUCUUACUAAUUAACCUAUUUAUUCUCGCAGACUGACUAAGUCUUUGGAGGAGCUUAAUAAUGAGCAAGAGGUGAAAUCCUCAAUUUUGUCGCUGGUAAUGUAUAUUCUUGGUUUUAUUUACUUCUGUAGAGGUUUUAAAUACAUGUGUGGUAUCAUGUGUGGUGAUUUAAGUGGAUCUAAGAUCAGUUAGAUGUCGCACCAGAAUGAAUCAAACCCACUCGCCGACACCUAACUAUGUCACACUUUAUUAUACCACAGAGGUAACUUGCUUCCAUCAACUAUGUUGCCAAAUAGGGUGGCCUUUCAAAGUUUUUGUUUGUGUAAAUAUUAUUAUUAUUCGAUUCCUCUUUCAUCAUGAAGGAUUAGUGUUACUGUAUGGGCGACCGAGUUAACGAUUUUGAAUCUGUCUGACUGAGCAUGAUAUUUUUUCUUAGGUAGUGUGCAUUAUAGGCUUGGAUCUAGUGAAUAGAGGUUACUCUGCUUGUGUGGGCAACUGUUUUUCAGUUUGCCUCUGCAAACAUUUGGUUUUAUUGUUCUACAAUGGGUCAAUGAGUUUGAAUAUGUGUAACUGAGCAGGAUAUUUUUUCUUAGGUAGUGCACAUUCUAGACUUGGAUCUGGUGGCUUGAGGCUGCUUUGCUUGCGUGGGAAACUGUUUUUUAUUUUGUCUCGGCCAACAUUUUGAUUUAUUAUGCUACACUGGGUCAUUUUGAGAAGCAGGAGGGGUCUGUUUUUGAGUAUUUUUGUCACUUGCUGGUUGCUUUUACCCGAGACGGUUUUUGAUUUGCUACAAGGUUUUUUCAUCAUUGCUUAUGGGUUGAAGAUUUUCUAAUAAUGAGAGCCCUUUAUGACCUGGUCAUUUGUUACACAAUUUUUAUUGUUUUGCUAGGUGUGUGAAUAAAUCGUUUAGGGCCUAAAUGAUAUGCAAGUUUCCCUUUAAGUUCAUGUUUUAUAGCUGAUUCCUUGUCCUUCACAAUAUCACUUCAACAUUCUUAUGCUUAUUUUUAUAGCCAUUGGUCUGUUUAGUGCAGGAUGCUGGUGUGUGUUUCCUUGUAGGUAUUGCUAAUGGUUCAGGAUGCACAAAGGGCUCUCAUAUAUUCCAAUUCCAAGCCUCAUCUUAUUUGACCCGAUCCAAUAGAAAAUAACGGGGGUAUCCGACUUGAAAUCACAAACAAGAUAGGCUUCGUAGCAACAAUAUCUCAAGGCAUUGAUUGUAUUGUUAUUCUGCACGUGGGUAUGUUUUAGAGCAUGACAGUGGGGGUAUUCUGUUGGAAUUUUAAAGGUUUUUAGCAGAAGUUGUUUCUCGGCCAACAUCUUACUUCUUGUUAAAUGGUGGGGGACUUGGUCUGCGCCCUAAAGUGCUGGAAAUCAGGCAUGACACUUUUAUCUCUUCCUUUUGAUAUAUUCACUGAUCUUCUUUAUGGGAAAUGUAUGUUUCGGUUGCCUUAGGAUAUUGGUUGUUGGUUUGUUGUGAUGUCAUGGUUUAAGUACAAAGGUAGUCUUAAACGGCUAUUUUAUUGGGUGAGUAGUGUGAGCAAAUUUGUAUGCAUUUAUAGUGGCCUUUUUUGUCUGUGGAGUUUUGUGUAUGUUUAUGCAUACUAUCCCAUUACACUCUGUACUUUUGUGUGGCUCUAUUCAUACACAUAUUGUGUUAGAAGUUUUUUUGAUAUAAUUUAAUGAUUAAAAAACUUAUUAAACCACUGAUACUGAUACUAUGUUCUAUGGAAUUGAAUAUUGGAUUCCCUCAUUCAUGGUAUUUUGGUUUUGUUAGCAAUUUGUCAGUGGUGGUUCAGUUAGCAUUACUUGCUGUAGAUUGUAGUUUUAGGCAUGGCUAUUGUAUCAUUUUUGUAUUGGGGGUUUAACAUUAGACUUUAUGAGGUGAUUUCCAACAACAGUACCUAAACCAUGACAAUGUCAAGAGAUGACAUGAAGGUGUUUGAUGAAAAAAAGUUACCUAGUGUGUACUUAAUGCAUAUGCUGGUCGAGAAUCAAAGUUCAUGUGAAUCUCAGAUGAAGAUGUGAAUGUUGUAAAAGAGGUAGCGACAUUGAAGGCAAUGGAUGAGGAAAGAAGUAAGCAUUAUUCAUGAGAGGCUUCUUAGGGAUAAUACAAAAGAUUAUGGAUGAUAUGAUCCAACACCAACUUUUUCUAAGCCUCCUUUCAAACUCAUACCAAAUUGAAUUAUAUCGUUCAAAGAAUGAAUCCUUCAAAGUUGGUAUCGAUCGGAAAUAUAAAUACUAUGUAAAAUAAAUAAUCCAAUGUUUUAUCAUCUUAACAUAUUGAAAUGGCUACUUUAAGGAUCCUUUAACAGUAGAUUUUAUGAGGUGAUUUCCAACGAACCUUACCAUUUGUUGGCUCAUUUUUACUAAACAUCUCUAAGUGUGUAGGCUGGUCUUCUUCCUUAGGUAUUCCGAAUAUAGUUUAUUGCUUUGGUCCAACAACCGGUGCACCUCAUGCAUAUGAUUAUAUCUAUUUUUUUUUUUAUAAAAAAAACUGCCUAUAAUAGCGUUUUUAGAAAAAGAGCUAUUAAAAACUGUUUAUUAGUAUGGCUUAUGAUAGCGCUUUUUGGUAAAGUGCUAUCAUAGAUUGUCAACCGAUAAUAGCGCUUUUAUGAGAAGUGAUAUUAAAGACACGCUUUAAUAAUGGAGGUUGUUGAUCUGAGUUAUCAGUAUAUCGAAAGUGGAACAUUAGCCUACUGCAAGAGUGUCUGUCUACUAAUCUCAUUGACAAGUUGCAUGUUAUCCUUCUGCCUUCUAUAGACCAAGGUACUCAUCAAAGAGUUUGGGGUGGAGCAAAUGCAUAUACUUUUAAGUUAUUAUAUGCUUAUAAAGUGUUAUGUAAUUUCAAUGAAGGCCGAUUAGAUAUUGUAUAUGGGAUCAAAUAUGGCGCAUCAUUGUUUUUGAAAGCGGAUAUGGAUUUAUUUGAAUUUUGAAUCAUGGUAGAUUGCUUACGAAUCAUACUAAGAAUUAUGAUAAUGAGAUCGAGGAUAUUCUUCAUGGAUAGAGGAUAUUCUUCAUGUCAUGUGUGCUUGCAUGUUGGCCAAAGAGAUCUGGUGUGUUUUUGUUUUCUGGAGGAUGCUUGAAGUUUUUUUUGAGGAAAAUCUUAGAAAGUGGAUUCGCCUCAACAUUUUACAUGAUCGUGGUGGUUACGAUAAAAUUACUUGGUCAGAGUUAUGGGCUGCCAGUGCCAUUCUCUUUGGAGAUGGACGAAUAUGGAACUCAUAACGAUACUUUCAAUAGACACUGAUGACCUUGUCAUGAGAUUAUGGCGUGGGUGAAAGAUUAUCAAUUAGUCUAAAAUAACAAUUCAAUUCAUCAAAGUAGGUGUGAUAUGCAAGAUAGGACCACAUGGAAUGUUCUAGAGGAUAGUUGGUUUGUUUGAGCACUAAGAGUACAAUUUGAGGAGAUAAUAAGCAAGGUGUGAUGAUUUAGUUAGAAGUGCAAGGUAUAUAGUUAUGUGUUUUUUCUAAAAAUCCUAAAAGACGUAAUGCAAGGUAUAUAGUUGGGUGUCUUGAAUGAGUUAUGUCUAGCGCAAACUCAUGGAUAUUCAAAAGUUGAGCUUUAUGUGAGUUCAAAGACUAUCAUUGAUACAUUGAAAAAAGAAAGUAUGUGCAGUGUCGGUGGUUGAAAAUUAAUUCCACAAAUCACACAUAUUUUGGCUAUAAAAUGAGAAAUGAAAAUUUAUUAUUUGUAUCGUGAAACAAAUGCUUGAUGCUCUCCCGCAUACAUUGAUUGUGAUCUUAGUUCCAUUUUGAUUUUGUAUGAACAAUAUCCUGUUUAAGGGGUCUCUUUGUUUCGUGGAUUAAAAUUAUAAUUCUAGGAAUAUUAUUUCUUGAUGAAAAAAUUUAUUUAUUUUUAAUAAUUAUAAAAUAAAUGAAUUAAAAUAUUUGGGAGUGGAAAAUUAUGAGUGAUUACUUUUUAUUCCAUGAGAAUGUAAGAUUGCCAC